AUUGAACGCUGGCGGAAUGCUUUACACAUGCAAGUCGAACGGCAGCACGGGGGCAACCCUGGUGGCGAGUGGCGAACGGGUGAGUAAUACAUCGGAACGUGCCCAGUCGUGGGGGAUAACGUAGCGAAAGUUACGCUAAUACCGCAUACGAUCUACGGAUGAAAGCGGGGGACCGUAAGGCAUCGCGCGAUUGGAGCGGCCGAUGUCAGAUUAGUUAGUUGGUGAGGUAAAGGCCCACCAAGCCGAAGAUCUGUAUCUGGUCUGAGAGGACGACCAGCCACACUGGGACUGAGACACGGCCCAGACUCCUACGGGAGGCAGCAGUGGGGAAUUUUGGACAAUGGGCGCAAGCCUGAUCCAGCCAUUCCGCGUGCAGGACGAAGGCCUUCGGGUUGUAAACUGCUUUUGUACGGAACGAAAAGGCUCUGGUUAAUACCUGGGGCUCAUGACGGUACCGUAAGAAUAAGCACCGGCUAACUACGUGCCAGCCGCCGCCGUAA
rnacentral:rRNA from 1 species